GGAUAUCGGUGGUGUAGUGGUUAGCGUGGUUGCCUCUCACCGCAGUUGGCUUGGGAUCAAUCCCAGUCGACCA
rnacentral:tRNA from 1 species